rnacentral:rRNA from 1 species
AGUCACUGACAUUAGAUACCCCGGUAGUCCAGGGUGUAAACGCUGCAGACUUGGUGUUGGAAGCCCUUUGGGGGCAUUCAGUGCCGGAGAGAAGUUGUUAAGUCUGCUACUUGGGGAGUACGUCCGCAAGGAUGAAACUUAAAGGAAUUGGCGGGGGAGCACCGCAACGGGAGGAGCGUGCGGUUUAAUUGGAUUCAACACCGUAAACUCACCAGGGAAGACUGUUACAUGAAGGCCGAGAUGAAGACUCUGCCAGAUUUUCAG